ensembl:lncRNA
GGGCUCGUUUCUGGGCUCUGCUUGGUUGGUGAGGUCCAACACCAGCUGACUGAGAGGGCUCGUUUCUGGGCUCUGCUUGGUUGGUGAGGUCCAACACCAGCUGACUGAGAGGGCUCGUUUCUGGGCUCUGCUUGGUUGGUGAGGUCCAACACCAGCUGACUGAGAGGGCUCGUUUCUGGGCUCAGCUUGGUUGGUGAGGUCCAACACCAGCUGACUGAGAGGGCUCGUUUCUGGGCUCAGCUUGGUUGGUGAGGUCCAACACCAACUGACUGAGAGGGCUCGUUUCUGGGCUCUGCUUGGUUGGUGAGGUCCAACACCAACUGACUGAGAGGGCUCGUUUCUGGGCUCUGCUUGGUUGGUGAGGUCCAACACCAACUGACUGAGAGGGCUCGUUUCUGGGCUCUGCUUGGUUGGUGAGGUCCAACACCAGCUGACUGAGAGGGCUCAUUUCUGGGCUCAGCUCUUGGGUUUGAAGUGCUUUAAAUUGGACUUGAAUUUAGAUGUAGCCAACAUAUUUAUGACCUUUUCUGUAUUUUCAUUACUAUUGGAAAGCUGCCCAAUUCUGCCCUACAUGCAUUAGUUGGUGUAUUUCUCUGGACUUGUAGGAUUUUCCGACAGAAGUCUGCAUGUAGGGCUUCAAUUGGAUGUUUGUCCCACAUUUUAAAGUCCAGUUUAUUGAGUGGCCCCAAACCUCACUUCCGUAAAGAGCUAUUGGUAGGAUUACACUGUCAAAUAUUUUGGUUCUAAUUGGGGUGUUGAUCUUUUAUUUUUUAUUUUUUAUUGCAUACAUUGCUCUACGGGCUUUUUCUUUGAGGACAUUCACUGCCAUAUUCAAGUUUCCCGAUGCAGAUAUGGUCAGACCAAAGUACGAAUAAUUUUAGUGUGUUCAGUUAUGAUGUUACUCAGGGUGAAUUUAUAUUUGUGUUUCUGACAUCAGUUUUUUGGGGGGAAAAUUCAUGAUUUUUCUUCUUUUUUUUCAUUUACUGCCAGGGCCCAAUUAUGGCAAUAUUACUCUAGAAUGUUAACGUUCUGUUGAAGACCUCCUUACAUCAUAUCUGUGACCAUCUGCUCUACCAGGCCCUUACAUCAUAUCUGUGACCAUCUGCUCUACCAGGCCC